GUUCUUGUUGUUCUUGUGUUUGACUAUAGUCAUGUUUUAGAGAGAAAAUUGCCGCAUUUGCUUGGAUUUCUAAUCUUAGAAGACUGUUCCCUUCCAAAGGUGUAGAAAUCUUACAUUUUUUCUUAACAGCUCCCUGCAGCUCCUGUGUUCAUUGUCAGUGAACAAAAAUGGAGGAUUUCUAGUUGAGUUCUAAACAUACAAGACUCCAGUCUGCUAACUGUGCCAAAAUUGAAACUGAAUAAGCAAAUGAAAUUGCUUUGACAUCUACAAUACUGGAAACAUUAUGCUUUUCAAAUCCAAACUGAAGGAGCAUCUGUGAGGGUUCCUACUCUGAAAAGCUAGAAGUCUCCUUGGGAAAAAAAAAAAAAAAAAAAAGGCUGUGGCACCGUAAACACUCAAGGAAGACAGCAGGCAUGUGGCUACUCAAUGAGCAGUGCAGAAAGCAGUCUGGGUACAGGUACUGUGCUGUCUCCUCCCCUGUCUUGGCAAAAGGCUUAUACUCUGCUGUUUCUCACUUGUUUCCAAGUCAUACUGGAAGUGUUUUUAAUACAAUUAAACUGAAGGAAGAAAGAAGAAAUGAAGAGGGAAAGCACCAACUCAAAUAUUUGAGUUGAUUUGUUAAAAUAAUAUUAUGUGGUGGUGAGACAAUAUUGAUAAACUUUGUCCUGAUAUAAAUCUAUAUUUAGUGUCAUUUUGUUUGGUUGCAUUAUAGAGUGUAAGUAUUUAUUUGAGUUUGUGUGAAGAAUUCAUUUGAGUUUAUGUGCAGUUAGAAAAAAAUACUAUUAUUAUAAUUAAAGAACAUAUCAGGUUUUCUAUAUUUCUGGUUAAUGAUCCACUUGCUUUGAUAUGAUACUGCCCUGUGUUUUGUGUCUGGUUAUUGACAUAAAGAUUCUUACUAUAUAUUUCUGCAAAGGAAUUUUAGCAUAGAAAUGUCCUUGGAAAAAGAUUUGUGCUAACAAAGCCAGCAGUUUUAAUUUUGGAAAAGCAUAGCACAGUUUGUGGCAUCUCAGGGAGUGAUGUUUUCAAACACACAGAAUAAAAGUUUCCUAUUCUUCAUCUAUUUCAGUAGAGACUAUAGAGGUUUGCUCAAAUCCUAAUACAGCAUUAGGCAGUAAUAUGGCAGUCUCUGCAUAUUAACUAAGUUUUAUUAUUAACUUUUAGUUCAUUAAAAAAAAAAAAAAAAAGGAAAGAAAAGAGUUGCUAAUGCCAAUGUAGUUGUGUUGGAAAGAAAGGAGCAAAUGACUGUGAAAUUCUGGAAAUAAACUCAAGAUUUUUCCUUAAUGUUCACAAGUUUCAGAGAGUACUCAAGCUCAUUAACUUUCUUUUUUUGAACCUAGAAUCAAAUGGCUUGUGCAGAAAGGGGCACUUAGAUGAUAUAAUUUAGAUAUGUAAAAUCUGAUAAUUUUCUUCCUCACUAGUUCAUUUCCACUUAGGGCUCAGUAAAAGUAGAACUGCCUAUCAAAUAUUCAUUGUACACUGAACAAUUCUAUUUUUUGCUGAUGCUUAAGCAAAAUUGAUUGAGCAAGGAAGAUAAAUAUUCCUUUCUUAAUGCAAUUGGCUUGCUUCACCCUCUCCAAAAUAAUAUCAGGGCUUCCAGAUUGAAAGCACCAAAUUCAUAACGAGAAAGAGAUUCUAGUUUCAUAAUAUAGCUAACAUAACACCUUCAUUGCAUAUAUAUAUAUACAUAUGUUAGUAUUUUAAGUUGAUAGUAGUUAAUGAGAAGACUCUGAGACUUUCCUUCUAAAUUAAAUAUGCUAGUAGUCAGUAAUAGCCAUUGGGAUAGCAGAACAAUUUUCUUAUGAGACAAAAAUAUUUUUUUCUUGAACAAACCUUGUUGCUGCCUUGUCUAAGGGAAAAAAAAUAACAUUAGAGCCACAUAAGCAGCAUCAAAUAUGAUCAACAAUGAAAUACAUUAACGCAUAUGAUUUUAACCCUCAUAGAGAAGAACUGCAGAUUAAUUAGCAUCUAAUUAAAGAUUUUUUCUCUUUAAAUCUGGAAAUUGCUUUCCUCUCCUUGUCAUCUAAUUUGGGGUCCAGAUAAUGUCAAUUGCCUUAAGCCAAUGUUGUGAGCUGUGCUGGGCUGCCUGCCUUGAGAAUCCACCCUUUUCCCUCAGUAUUUUUAUGCCUUUAGCUAUCCAGUUUGUUUCUUUGAUCACUUUGUUCUCUCUUUGCUUUCUGUCCAGUAAAUGUCUGCUUUAGCUGUGUGAACAAAUGGGACUUCCUGAUGUAUUCUACCCGUGCAGGAGAAGACCCCCCUGCCUGCAGUCCUCUGGAGUGUUUGAAUAUAGUGAUAUUGAUCUGAUAACCUUCAGUACUAACCAUUUAAGAUGUUCUUUUUCGCCUGUUAUAGAAGAACAGUCUGUAGGAAGGUAUUUAUUUCUCUUUUAAAUAUUUCUCUUUUAAAUAUUUCUCUUAUAAAUUUCAACCACCUAUGUCUCUACAAAACAAAUCUCACAGGGAGUGAAUGAAUAUGCGUAGUUAACAAUUCAUGUUAUAGAAAUCAUAAAGUUUAUUCCUUAAAUGCUAUUACUGACUACUAGCAUAUUUAAAUUAGAAGGAAAGUCUUAGGGAAUUUUAUGUGAGUGAUAUUAGAUAAGAGGGACAUUUAAUGUAAGGAGAAUAAUGGAAUUACAGGUGUGGGUCAAGAAUUAAAAAAUAAAAAUAGAGUAAGAUUGACUUUUGAUUGGGAAUAGGCAAUAUUUAGUGGACUCUCUGUAUUUUAAAGUGACACUAAUAAGGAACAACAGUUGUUGUUCCUGAAUUUGCAUUCAGAAAUUAUCUACUACAAAAAUAUUAACUGCUGAGUUUAAUUUGCAGUGUAAAAUAAAAUUUGAAGCAUACAAUUUCUGAAUGUUCCACCCAGUAUAAUAGAUUUAUUUAACUCAUUCCAGACACAUUGCUAGAACUUGCAAUAGACACAAACUGAUGUGUUGCACUACAUUCAAUAAUCCCCAUAUGAAUGCUUAAAUGAAAUAAUGCAUAAAAAUGCCUAUGAUUUUUAAGACUGUACAUACAUAGCAAGGUUUUCAGAAAAUGAAUUAGCAAGAAGAACAAUUAUAAUUUUUAAAAUGUCAUGAAAUAGACAAAUGCUGAUUUCCUCAGUGAGAUUUGAAAUAUACUCCCAACAUCAUGAAAGUGAAGACAGAAAAUUAAGUUAUUUUAAAUGAAAUUGGUUUUAACAUUCAUAUUUACCAUAUUAUUGGGAAGUCUGAACCUCUUUGUAAAAGGAGAAUGACAUGUAACAAAAUUUGAAAGAUGGGAUUAACAGAGACGGUUCAUAUUUGACAAUGCAGGAUUUAAGAAAAGGGAGUUUUAAUUUAAAACAUACCUUCAAAAGCAGACAGAAUUAUGGUGCUGGACUAUACUUAAAUAACAUACUAGUUUUGCUUAUAAAAUAGAUGCAAGAAAUGUAGGAAAAUGAUCUUUCAGAGUUAAUGAUGGUAACAAUCGUUUAGUAAUGAAAUAAAUAGUAGGAGAGCCCAGUAUGAAGCUGUUGACAAAACAAGAACAUAAGACUGGAAGGGACUUUUCAAAUUGUCAGCUUCAUUUCUUCUUUAGAUAAAGCAUCAUCUCAUCUAUAUAUAUAUACAUACAUAUUUCUUAACAUCUUAACAUGAUCCUAGCUAAUCAGUGCUUUUUCCAUUCCCUGUUUCCAUCUUCUAUUUUUUCUGCAACAAUGCCACACUUCUGUAACUGAUUUAAAGCCUCUUCCUAUCUCAUUUUGAGUAGAGACCUAAAACUUCAAGUCACAGCUUUUAUCAGCCUCCUCUAUAAUCAAAUCUAUCAUAAUCUAGUAGUAAUUCACUAAUAAAUCCUUGAGAUAGUCAAAUGUUUCCUUUUCACCUAGUCUCCAAAAUGCAACAGAAUAUAAUCUGCAAAGUUGAAUAUAUUUGGAAAUAAUAACCUUGGUUUCAUUUUAUUCAAGUGCUGUUUCUUUGGAUAAUGGAUGGUAUUUAUUCAAAAAGGAUUUCCAAAUCAACACAUUGGAUGCUCUUACCUGAUGAUCACAACCAAUUUUGUCAAUAAUUGGUAAUAUUGAUAAACAGUUUUGCAAGGCUCUAAAUGGUUAAUAAAAUAUGUAUAAUGUCGACUCCAAAUAUAGCUUCUGUAACAAUAGUGAUUCUUGUGCAACUCACUAGAGCAAUUUUGUAGAGCCAAAAAUGUCCUUUCUGAAUUUCUGUUGUCAAAGAGGAACAUGUGAAAAACAAAUUACAUAUCAGUAUGAUGUCUCAUGGAAUAUGGAAUGAGUGCAUAACAUUCUGUUCAGCUUACAUAGGUGGAUCAAAUAAUCAUCUCUGCCAGUCUUUGAGGGAACUUGCUAUAUAAUACAGCCAGUGCACCAGUUACUCUGUAUAGAGCUGUCAGUGUUCACUACUUGUUCAGAUAGUACACUUGGUCAAAGAAAAGAUGUCUACAGGGAACUCUUGACUUCAUUGAUCUUUUUCUCAGGGUCUUACUGUUUUCAUUUGAUUGUUCGUUUGUUUGUUUUUACCUAUUUACUCCUAAUAUGUAAAAAUUAUCAUUCAUCCUACAAAUAUACAUAAAAAGAAGCCACCAAAAAAAAAUCUUGCAUCAGUAUUCUCACUUUGUAAACACUAAAGAUUUUGUAAACAGUACUAAAAUAUAAAUAGAUAUUUAAAUAGAGGUCAUUGUCCUUCAUUUUUCUAAACAAAGCUUUGAAAUACUCAAAAAAUUAGAUAUGCAGCUACUCAGAGAGCACAGAAUCACAGUAUCAUGGAAUUGAAGGGGUUGGAAGGGACCUUGAAAGAUCAUCGAGUCCAAGCCCCCUGCCAAAGCAGAUUGAUAUAAUACUGGUAAUACUCUAAUCUUUACAUCUCAGAUUCCUUUCCCUCUUGUAUUCAAUUUAUUUAAUUGAAUUUUUGAAAUUUGAAAAAAUUCUAUUUAUUCAAAGGUAAACUAUGCUAACAGUAGAAAAUGAUAAAUCAAAUCCAUCUCUUCUAUGCCAGCCCCAGGGUACCAAGUUUCAAAUUGCACUCUUAUUUCUAUUCUCUAAUAGAAGAGCUAACAAAAAUUCCAGCCAAAGAUCAGCUCUGAAAUGUGGAAUUGUGAAUUUGAAAUAUAUAUCUUGAACUGUCUCCUGCAUGGAGCAGCCUUAUAUCUCCUAUUUUAUUGCCUGUGAUAAAGGAUAGAUUUAGUAUUUUAUUUUAUUUUAUUUUAUUUUAUUUUAUUUUAUUUUAUUUUAUUUUAUUUUAUUUUAUUUUAUUAGCAAUGGGAAGAUAACAUUAUAUAAUACCUUCUAACACUCUCAGUGACUAACAUGAUCAAUUAGAUGAACCAUGGCAGAACUGAUAAAUACUCCUGGGAAAUGGAAACAGUUGAAAAACAACAAUGAGAAUUUUGUAAUUGCAUAAAAUUUUGAAUGGAAAAAAAUGACAUGAUUUCAUACAUCUCCUUUUCUUGAUAUUUCUUUGAUAAUUCUUAUAUUUACCAAUGUUUCUUUCACCCCUUCCACCCUUUUUCAACUAUUCCAUCUUUAUUUUAGACACUUUCUCCUUUGUUACCAUUCCUUUUCCCUUUCCUGUUUCCUUUUCUCCUUCUCACAUCUUUUUUUUUUUUUUUAUGUUCUCCAACUUCAUUUUCAAUGCUUCCCUUCUCUCGUGUACUUCUCUCACGUGUACUUUUCUUUUGAAAUGUUACACUGCCUAUUUUAUUCUUCAGCUUUAUCCUGUUCUUGUUUACACUGUCCUUUCUACUUGUCCCUUCAGUGAGAAAAAAUUACAUUAAAACAAAUGCUGAUCAUAUUAAUAUUUGUCUAACUGGAUUUGAACUGUGACCCUUCUCUCUAUUUUCAUUUGUUAAAUAAAACCCAUGAUACCACAUUUUGCAAGUCCUAUGCAUAACCUUGCAGAAUAUGGGUCUGCAUUAUUAAUGACUUUUUGAGCAAAAUAAGUAUGUGUUCACGUAGAUUACUUGCUAAUUAUGCUUGAAGCUAGCAAAGUAACUUAAAAAAAUCUCAUAAACUGCUUUUAGAUUUUUUUUAUAUAUUUUUUUUACGAUAAAAACUCCUAAAGCUUUAUUUUCAAGACAGCACAAGGACACUGAAAGUUCAAAAGAACUUGUUUAUAUAAGAUAAGGAGACAAACAGAACAGUGAUGAUAUAUUUUUUAAGGCAUUAGAAUGAUGAAUAAGACUCAUAAUACUUUCAUAUUUAUAACAAGUUUUAAUUUGGAACCAGAAUGAAAAAUAUUAACAUAUCCUAUAUAAUCAACAGUUGUACUAGUGGAAAAAACAAACUAACUAACAAACAAACAAAGAAACUUUUUGGCUACGGUUUUUACUUUGCCAGUACUUCAGUGACAGAACUUUCUUAAGGUGUCCUCCCCCAAUAAUUCCCAGCUAUUCUUUCUUGUCUCAUAAACUACUGCGUCCCUGUCUAGAAGACUCUAAGCUCUUCAGAAAACAUUUAUGAACUGUUGGAAAUAAAAAGUAAGUAGAUCAGAUUGAUUAUAAGGAGACUUGUGACAGAAAUCUUCAGCUGCAAAACUGAAUAUGUGCUGGGGAAAACAAAACAAAACAAAAACAAAAAUAACCUUCUGGGUUCUAUAGAGAGCAGGAACAAAGCUGUCAAAGCACAGGAAAAAUAAAAUGCUGUUCACAAAAGACUAUUGGAAUCAGGCACACCCAGAAAUAUCUCCAAAUGCCCUAAUCCCUUUUUACCUUUGCAGCCAUGAUAUCUUAGUGUACUUUAGAGAAAAUAUAGACUAUCACUAUGAACCUACAGCUCGAGAAACUUGUAUGCGGAACAUCAAUCCCUGAUUGCUUCUAUUGCAGUUGUUGCUAAGUGCUAUGUUCCCUUAACUUUAUUAUUCAGGAAAGGUCUGUUUGGAACAGGCUGCCCAGGGAAGUGGUGCAGUCACCAUCCCUGGAGGUCUUUAAAAGACGUUUAGAUGUAGAGUUUAGGAAUAUGGUUUAGUAGGGACUGUUACUGUUAGGUCAGAGGUUGGACUCAAUGAUCUUGAGGUCUCUUCCAACCUUGAAGUUCUGUGAUUCUGUGAUUCUGUGAUAUAUAUACACAAAAAUACUAAAUUGAAGCCACAGAAAGACUUGAAGCACGGUUUAGAAUCAUAGAGUCAUAGAAUGAUUUAGGUUGGAAGGGACCUUAAAGAUCAUCUAAUUCCAAUCCCCAUGCCAUAGGUAGAGACACCUUCCACUGUACCAGGUUGCUCAAAGCCCCAUCCCACCUGGCCUUGAACUCUUCCAUGGAAGGGGCAUCCACAGCUUCUCUGUUUGAGUGUCUCACCACAGUACUCCAGGUGAGGUCUCACGAGAGCAAAGUAGAGGAGUAGAAUCAUCACCCUUGACCUGCUGACCUUACUUCUUCUGAUGCAGCCAAGGAUAGCUUUCUGUGUUGCACAUUGCCAGUUCAUGUUGAGCUUCUUGUCAAUCAAAACCCCUAAGUCCUCAUCAGAGCUGCUCUUGCACUUGGCCUUGCUCAAUUUCAUGAGGUUCACACAGGCCCGCCUCUCAAACCUGUCAAGGUCCCUCUGGAAAGCAUCCCUUCCCUCCAGCAUGUUGACCACACCACACAGCUUGGUAUCAUCAGCAAAUUUCCUAAGGAUGCGCUUGAUCCCACUGUUCGUGUCACCAACAAGAUGUUAAACGGUACUGUUCCUGAUACCAGCUCCUGAGGAACACCACUGUUGUCUGCUUGGACAUUAUAGUCUGUUGAUCACAACACUUUGACUGCGACCAUCCAGCCAAUACCUUGCUCACCAAGAAGUCCAUUUAUCAAACCCAUACCUCUCCAAUUUAGAGAGAAGCAUGUCAUGGGCAACAGCAUGAAAUGUUUCCAUACGUCCAAGUAGAUGUUGUCAGUUGCUCUUCCCCUUUCCAUCAAUGCUCUAAGUCACAGAAGGCUACCAGAUUUGUCAGGCACAAUAUGCACUCAGUGAAGGCUGUCUGUCACCAAUCACCUCCUUAUUUUCCAUGUGCCUUAGCACAGUUUCCCAGAGGAUCUGCUUCAUGAUCUGGCCAGCCACAGAGUUGAGACUGGCCUGUCGUUCUCUGGGUCUUGUUUUUUCCCCUUUUAAAAAUGGGGUUAUGUUUCCCCUCUUCCAGUUAGUUGAGACUUCACUGGAUUGACAUGAUUUCUCUAUUGCAAGAGAUAGUGACUUAGCAACUUCAUCUACCAGUUUCCUCAGGACCUGCAGAUGUACCUCAUCAGGUUCAAUGGACUUGUGCACCUUUAGGUGCCUUAGCUGGGCUCAAACCUGAUCUACAGUUCAUCAUUCUUCCAGUCCCAGUCCCAGUCCCAGUUUGUUUUCUCAGACUUGGGCUGUGUGGCUAGAGCUCUUGUUGGUGAAGACUGAGGUAUAAAAGUCACUGAGUACCUCAGCCUUCUCCAUAUCCCAAGUAACCAGGUCUCCCAUUUCUUUCUGGAGAAGUCCCAUUAGUAUUUAAUGAUCAUUUAGUAGUAAUCAAAAUUAACUUUUUAUUGUGUCACCCUAAAUAUUUAAUUCUGACCUUACUGAGAAAAACUACGUAAGAACAAUCA